rnacentral:rRNA from 1 species
UAGGGAAUCUUCCACAAUGGGCGAAAGCCUGAUGGAGCAACGCCGCGUGUGUGAUGAAGGGUUUCGGCUCGUAAAACACUGUUGUAAGAGAAGAAUGACAUUGAGAGUAACUGUUCAAUGUGUGACGGUAUCUUACCAAAAAGGAACGGCUAAAUACGUGUCAG